rnacentral:tRNA from 1 species
ACAGUGGUGGCUCAGUGGUAGAGUUCUCGCCUUCCACGUGGGAGGCCUGGGUUUGAUUCCCGGCAUGUGCA